rnacentral:rRNA from 1 species
GCAUAUCAAUAAGCGGAGGAAAAGAAACUAACAAGGAUUCCCCUAGUAACUGCGAGUGAAGCGGGAAAAGCUCAAAUUUAAAAUCUGGCUGUCUUCGGCAGUCCGAGUUGUAAUCUAGAGAAGUGUUAUCCGCGUUGGACCGUGUACAAGUCUCCUGGAAUGGAGCAUCAUAGAGGGUGAGAAUCCCGUCUUUGACACGGACUACCAGUGCUUUGUGAUGCGCUCUCAAAGAGUCGAGUUGUUUGGGAAUGCAGCUCAAAAUGGGUGGUAAAUUCCAUCUAAAGCUAAAUAUUGGCGAGAGACCGAUAGCGAACAAGUACCGUGAGGGAAAGAUGAAAAGAACUUUGGAAAGAGAGUUAAACAGUACGUGAAAUUGCUGAAAGGGAAACGCUUGAAGUCAGUCACGUUGGCUAGAAAUCAACCUUGCUUUUGCUGGGCGUACUUUCUGGUUAACGGGUCAGCAUCAAUUUUGACCGUUGGAAAAAGUUCAGAGGAAUGUGGCAUCUUCGGAUGUGUUAUAGCCUCUGUUCGCAUACAAUGGUUGGGAUUGAGGAUCUCAGCACGCCGCAAGGCCGGGUUUCGACCACGUUCGUGCUUAGGAUGCUGGCAUAAUGGCUUUAAUCGACCCGUCUUGAAACACGGACCAAGGAGUCUAACAUGCCUGCGAGUGUUUGGGUGGAAAACCCAAGCGCGCAAUGAAAGUGAAAGUUGAGAUCCCUGUCAUGGGGAGCAUCGACGCCCGGACCAGACCUUUUGUGACGGAUCCGCGGUAGAGCAUGUAUGUUGGGACCCGAAAGAUGGUGAACUAUGCCUGAAUAGGGUGAAGCCAGAGGAAACUCUGGUGGAGGCUCGUAGCGAUUCUGACGUGCAAAUCGAUCGUCAAAUUUGGGUAUAGGGGCGAAAGACUAAUCG